AUUGAACGCUGGCGGCAUGCCUUACACAUGCAAGUCGAACGGCAGCACGGGAGCAAUCCUGGUGGCGAGUGGCGAACGGGUGAGUAAUGUAUCGGAACGUACCUUUCAGUGGGGGAUAACGUAGCGAAAGUUGCGCUAAUACCGCAUAUUCUGUGAGCAGGAAAGCAGGGGAUCGCAAGACCUUGCGCUGAUUGAGCGGCCGAUAUCAGAUUAGCUAGUUGGUGAGGUAAAGGCUCACCAAGGCGACGAUCUGUAGCGGGUCUGAGAGGAUGAUCCGCCACACUGGAACUGAGACACGGUCCAGACUCCUACGGGAGGCAGCAGUGGGGAAUUUUGGACAAUGGGCGCAAGCCUGAUCCAGCCAUGCCGCGUGAGUGAAGAAGGCCUCGGUUGUAAGUACGU
rnacentral:rRNA from 1 species